GCCGUGCAGGGAGCGGGAGCUGGCGGCGGGGAGGGGCUGUCGCCGUCGCCGUCGGUCCGGCCGCCGGCAGCCAUGAACCAGUUCAGCUUCGGGUCGGGCGCGGCGGGAGGCGGCUUCACCUUCGGCGUGCCGAAGACGGCCGCCGCCACCACGGCCGCGACGGGCUUCUCCUUCUCCACCUCCGCCGCCUCGGGAGGCUUCAGCUUCGGCACGGCGGCGCAGACGCCCGCCAGCAGCCAGCCGGCCGGGCUCUUCUCCCUCAGCACGCCGGCCAGCACCGCGCAGCCCGCCGGCUUCAGCUUCGGCACGCAGCCCGCCGCCACGGCGGCGCCGGCCGGGGCCGUGUUCUCGCUGGGGGGAAAGGCACCCAAAUUACACUUGGGAGGCAGUAGCACAACUCAAGCUGCAGGUAUCACAGGAGGCUUUGGGUUCGGCGGCUCUGUACCGGCUAGUGCGCCCUCAAGGCAAGCAGCAGCCCCCUCUGGCUUUGUUUUUGGCUCUGCUGGUACCACCGCCACUACCACUGAGUCUGGGACAACUGGAGGGUUUACUUUUUCCAGUGGUAGUGCAACCCAGGCAGCAACACCCAGCUUCAGUAUCAGCACCGUAAGCAGUGCGGCCCCGCAAGCAGCGCCCGCGGGGCUGACCUUUGGAGCAGCGCCUGCUGCCGCUGCCACCGCUGCUGCCACCCUAGGAGCAACAAACAACACAGCCAGCAACUGCCUUCAGCCUUGGGGGACAGUGCUCAGGUCAACUGCCCUCGCUGGGUAACUGCUUCCAUGGCUUGUAUAUCAGCAUUAUGGGGCCACAGCCCACACGCUAUUUCCAACUGGAGUGCAAGGAUUAUACUAAGCUUUCGUCAGGCCCUGCAGAGGCUCGUCUGCACAGCCUGCCCGGCUCCGUGAAAGACCGCCUCCCCGCCAAACGGCGCUCAGGAGAAGCACGGCCUACAACAAACAGCCGGUGGCACUGAGGUCACGCCUGUGCAGGGUGACUGGGAAGGAGCUGGCAGGCCGCGCGCACGCUCAGCGGCCCAUUGUGAGGAGCUCCUGACACCUUCACAAGGUCUGCACGCCCGCCGGCGAUGUCACAGCACCGCCAGGGCAACCCAGGGCCCCGUUGCCGGGCAGGCCUCAUUUGCGCACACAGCUUUGGGAGUACCAGCAGACAUGGCUGGCUGCUCUGCCUUGGUGUGCCUUCUCCUGUGUACUCUUCUUGUACACGGGGUCCCCAUACCUGGGGAAAGAGAGGCUUCGGUGCUGUCUGAAGGUACGUACUCCGACGCAAGACCUCCUCUCCCCCACUAACAUUGUCUAAGGGUGAAUCUCCAGGGGCAAGGCAGCGCUCCCACGGGCCCCUACCAGCACCUGGGGGCACAGGCAGAAUAGGGGGCUCCCUUCCAAAGCUGAGAACACUUGAGGAGGAGCUCUUCUGCAGAGACGCGGCUUUCCACAGCCUUCUGCGCCGCCCUCCUGCGCUGCCCACCCUGGGCACACACAAGCAUCUGCCGAGCCUCGGCCCAGCACAGAAGUGGGUCUCGCUCGUGACAGCAGGCUCCUGCUUCCCUUUCUCCCAGCGCAGGAAGGAGGGAGAGAGGAGGAGCAAAACGCACCAAAAGGAGCAGGGGGGAGAAGAGAAGAAUGGGGCGUUUUCUCAAUGCACGGCACCAAACUAGGAUACCACAUGGCAUCCCGCACGUGCUGGGAUGCCACGUCCCCACGGCUGUGAUGCGUGUGCCGCUGCGCUUGGGCUCUUCACGCUUCAGCCCUCCCCUUCCUACCUUUCACCUACCACAGCAUGCACGUUUAUAUUAAACGCUGAUCUCUGGCCACUGUUUUGCAGUACUCUCCCCCAAGGGUUCUGCAGAGGCUGACCCCAGCCCUCCAAAACGCAGAACUGUUGUCGUCAUCGUCGCCAACACUUUGACGCUCGUCAUCUUGACGUUGUUCUUUGCGUUCUGCGUUUGGCUCUACUACCGACUCAAGACCAGGAAAGAAAGGUCUCCAGAGGACGAUGCCGAGGCAUCCGCUUGCCACUACCGCUGCCACUGCGGAGAGCUUCACAGCAGCCUGCAGUGUACCUGCUCCAGGUGUGCUUCUCCGAGCGCAGCAAGCCUAGAGCUCUGCAACAUCUGGGGCAAUGAAGACGACAAUCCGUAUGGCGGCCUUCUCCCAUCCCUGCCUCCUACACCGGGCAUGGGAGAGUUCAGCAGAAGCUCUUCCAGUGACAGUGCCACCACGCAGGAGGAGAACACCGCAGAUGCAGGCGUGCCUGGCACAGGCAGGCUCGAAGCACCAGCCGGCGACAAGGCCUGAACGGGUGGCAUCUCGGGCUGGGCACCGACACCAGGCCACGGCACCGUCCCUCCGCCCAGCCUGCCCGCACCGUGCUCCUCCGUCUCGGGCCGGUGCCAUCAUCGCGCCCGGCCACCUGCACGAGGAGGCCCCUGGGCAAUAAAGACGGAGAGGAGGCAGA